CACUCUGUUUAUUACUAAAUCCACUAGCCGUAGAUGAUCCAAGGCUCAUAAACCCAGGUAUGAUGGAGUACCCCAGAGAACAGUUGGAGAGAAAGAGAGACUCCAUUCGCAUAUGUAUAUGUGCAGAGAAGACCCAAAAUUUCUGGAUAUAAAGGUAUCAUAUGAACUCCGGAUCACUGAAGUAUGCCUGUGUAUGAACUCAGAAUUCCCAGCAGGCAUCAGGAAGAGUUAUUUUACCAUUUGUUUUCCAUUAUAGCCACCUUCUGUUAACAUUUUUCUGAGAUGAGACCUUGUAUCUAAUGGUAUUUAUCCACAGCUCAGCCUAUGACUGACUUUCCUGGCACCACAUGUCUGUGUUUGUCCUAAAUCCAAGUUACUCCAGGAACUGUGUAACUAUCUAUGAUCAUUUCUUCCUCCACCAUGAAAAAAAAAAUUAAAA
rnacentral:lncRNA from 1 species